GACAGAGGGUGCAAGCGUUGUUCGGAAUUACUGGGCGUAAAGCGCGUGUAGGCGGCCCGGAAAGUCGGAUGUGAAAGCCCUGGGCUUAACCUAGGAAGUGCAUUCGAAACUGCUGGGCUUGAGUUCUGGAGAGGAAGGCGGAAUUCUCGGUGUAGAGGUGAAAUUCGUAGAUAUCGAGAGGAACACCGGUGGCGAAGGCGGCCUUCUGGACAGUGACUGACGCUGAGACGCGAAAGCGUGGGGAGCAAACAGG
rnacentral:rRNA from 1 species